UACGUAGGGAGCGAGCGUUGUCCGGAAUUACUGGGCGUAAAGGGUCCGCAGGUGGCCAAGUGUGUCAGAUGUGAAAGCCCACGGCUUAACCGUGGAAAUGCGUUUGAAACUACUUGGCUAGAGGCUUGGAGAGGGCAAUGGAAUUCCAAGUGUAGCGGUGAUAUGCGUAGAUAUUUGGAGGAACACCAGUGGCGAAGGCGACUACCUGGACGAAAACUGACGCUGAGGCACGAGAGCUAGGGGAGCAAACAGG
rnacentral:rRNA from 1 species